rnacentral:misc_RNA from 1 species
GAAUUGCGAUAAUUAAUGUGAAUUGCAGACGUACACGAAUCAUCAAAACCUUGAACGCAUACUGCGCCUGAGAGCAUUCUCUCGGGCAUAUCUGGUUUAGUGUCAGUUUCAAACCUUGUAAAAAUUUUUAAAUAGGUUUUUACAGAUCUGGAUUUAGCACUUUUGUGGUGCUUCUUCUUAAAAACAACCCUGUGUUUUCUAUGCUUUCAAGCCUGUAAUGGCUGAGAGAUUUAAUUGGGACACCCGACUGAUAUUCACUUAUUGGAAGAGUAGCUCAUUACCAAAUAGCUCAGCUAACAGCCAUGGAUACACGAUAGGGAAAAAACGAAACAAACGAAUGGGGGGAUCUCUCCCUCCUUUCAAAUAUAUUAAUAUUUGACCUAAACUAGGUAAGGAAACCCGCUGAACUUAAGC